GAUGAACGCUGGCGGCGUGCCUAAUACAUGCAAGUCGAGCGAACAGACGAGGAGCUUGCUCCUCUGACGUUAGCGGCGGAUGGGUGAGUAACACGUGGAUAACCUACCUAUAAGACUGGGAUAACUUCGGGAAACCGGAGCUAAUACCGGAUAACACGUUGAACCGCAUGGUUUAACAGUGAAAGACGGUCUUGCUGUCACUUAUAGAUGGAUCCGCGCCGCAUUAGCUAGUUGGUAAGGUAACGGCUUACCAAGGCAACGAUGCGUAGCCGACCUGAGAGGGUGAUCGGCCACACUGGAACUGAGACACGGUCCAGACUCCUACGGGAGGCAGCAGUAGGGAAUCUUCAGCAAUGGGCGAAAGCCUGACGGAGCAACGCCGCGUGAGUGAAGAAGGUCUUCGGAUCGUAAAACUCUGUUAUUAGGGAAGAACAAAUGUGUAAGUAACUAUGCACGUCUUGACGGUACCUAAUCAGAAAGCCACGGCUAACUACGUG
rnacentral:rRNA from 1 species